rnacentral:sRNA from 1 species
UGAAAGACGCGCAUUUAUUAUCAUCCCUAUUAGAGAUGUUUGUUUGGCCACAGUUUCUGUGGCCUUUUC